AUUGAACGCUGGCGGUAUGCUUAACACAUGCAAGUCGAACGGUAACGAUGGAAGCUUGCUUCCAGGCGACGAGUGGCGGACGGGUGAGUAACGCGUAGGAAUCUGCCUAGUAGGGGGGGGUAACUUGUGGAAAUCCGGAUUAAUACCGCAUAAUCUCUACGGAGGAAAAGGGGCCUCUCCUUGGAAGCUCUUGCUAUUAGAUGAGCCCGCGUUAGAUUAGCUAGUUGGUGAGGUAAUGGCUCACCAAGGCUACGAUCUAUAGCUGGUUUGAGAGGAUGAUCAGCCACACUGGGACUGAGACACGGCCCAGACUCCUACGGGAGGCAGCAGUGGGGAAUAUUGGACAAUGGGCGCAAGCCUGAUCCAGCAAUACCGCGUGUGUGAAGAAGGCCUGCGGGUUGUAAAGCACUUUCAAUUGUGAAGAAAAGCUAAAGGUUAAUACCCUUUAGCCUUGACGUUAACUUUAGAAGAAGCACCGGCUAACUCCGUGCCAGCAGCCGCGGUAAUACGGAGGGUGCAAGCGUUAAUCGGAAUUACUGGGCGUAAAGCGUGCGUAGGUGGUUUGUUAAGUCAGAUGUGAAAGCCCCGGGCUCAACCUGGGAACUGCAUUUGAAACUGGCAAACUAGAGUAUAGGAGAGGAAAGUGGAAUUUCUGGUGUAGCGGUGAAAUGCGUAGAUAUCAGAAGGAACAUCAAUGGCGAAGGCAGCUUUCUGGACUAAUACUGACACUGAGGUACGAAAGCGUGGGUAGCAAACAGGAUUAGAUACCCUGGUAGUCCACGCCGUAAACGAUGAUAACUAGCCGUUGGGAGGAUUUACCUUUUAGUGGCGAAGCUAACGCGUUAAGUUAUCCGCCUGGGGAGUACGGCCGCAAGGUUAAAACUCAAAGGAAUUGACGGGGACCCGCACAAGCGGUGGAGCAUGUGGUUUAAUUCGAUGCAACGCGAAGAACCUUACCUGGUCUUGACAUACACGGAAUUUUCCAGAGAUGGAUUGGUGCCUUCGGGAACCGUGAUACAGGUGCUGCAUGGCUGUCGUCAGCUCGUGUCGUGAGAUGUUGGGUUAAGUCCCGUAACGAGCGCAACCCUUAUCCUUAUUUGCCAGCACAUAAUGGUGGGAACUAUAAGGAUACUGCCGGUGAUAAGCCGGAGGAAGGCGGGGACGACGUCAAGUCAUCAUGGCCCUUACGACCAGGGCUACACACGUGCUACAAUGGGAAGAACAAAGGGUCGCUAAGCCGCGAGGUGGUGCUAAUCUCAUAAAUCUUUUCGUAGUCCGGAUCGGAGUCUGCAACUCGACUCCGUGAAGUCGGAAUCGCUAGUAAUCGUGGAUCAGAACGCCACGGUGAAUACGUUCCCGGGUCUUGUACACACCGCCCGUCAUACCAUGGGAGUGGGUUGCACCAGAAGUAGCUAGUCUAACUGUUUACAGGGGACGGUUACCACGGUGUGACUCAUGACUGGGGUAAAGUCGUAACAAGGUAGCCCUACCGGAAGGUGGGGCUGGAUCACCUCCUUA
rnacentral:rRNA from 1 species